UACGAAGGGGGCUAGCGUUGUUCGGAAUUACUGGGCGUAAAGCGCACGUAGGCGGGUAUUUAAGUCAGGGGUGAAAUCCCGGAGCUCAACUCUGGAACUGCCUUUGAUACUGGGUACCUAGAGUAUGGAAGAGGUGAGUGGAAUUCCGAGUGUAGAGGUGAAAUUCGUAGAUAUUCGGAGGAACACCAGUGGCGAAGGCGGCUCACUGGUCCAUUACUGACGCUGAGGUGCGAAAGCGUGGGGAGCAAACAGG
rnacentral:rRNA from 1 species